GACAGAGGGUGCAAACGUUGUUCGGAAUUAUUGGGCGUAAAGGGAGUGUAGGCGGUUUCCUAAGUCUUCUGUGAAAUCUACGGGCUUAGCCUGUAACGUGCAGAGGAAACUGGGAGACUUGAGUGUCGGAGAGGAUAGGGGAAUACCCAGUGUAGAGGUGAAAUUCGUAGAGAUUGGGUGGAACACCAGUGGCGAAGGCGCCUGUCUGGCUGACAACUGACGCUGAGACUCGAAAGCAUGGGGAGCAAACAGG
rnacentral:rRNA from 1 species